GGAAAUUCAACUUCAGUUGGUGGAGAGCAGGAUCAACUUAAACUUGAGGAAUAACUAUGCUGGGGUCCUCAGACUUAACACAGAGAAGUCCCCGGUAUUUUACACAGAUACCCUCGUGUCAAAGAAAAGAUACAGCCGAGCCCUCAGGCGAGGUGGAUAAGGGUCGGUGAACAGACAGGGUCGGGCGAGACGGAAAAAGGGGUCGGGUGAACCGGAAGGGGUCGGCAGCUUACCUUCAGGUCUACUGGUGAAGUUUUGGGGUCGGGAAGGAAUAGACUUGGGUAGAAAGAUUAGAGUGUUAAGGCUUGGGUGGCAGCGAGGUUGGAUGGUGCUCCGGCGGCGACGACACUUCUUGUGGACGACAAGAAAGCUCUAGCACCGGGCGGAGGAUCAGGCUGCUGGUGGGUUGGGGAGAAGUGGGUUUGAGCGGAGAGGGGAGCUUCUCAAGAGCUCAGCGGUAGUGCUCAAGUGCGCUCAGAGUAGGGGCGGCGAAACAGCGAUGGCGAAGGAAACUCCGGUGGGACUCUGGUAUUCCUUUUUAUUGCUGGGCGGAAGAGAGAGAGUUUGAUCAGCAUGAAGACCGGGAAUAAAAAGGAUGGAGUGCGCUGCCUUGGC
rnacentral:lncRNA from 1 species